ACUGUAAAAAAAAGUACAGAAUUUUAAUAUCUAUUUUAGAUUUAUUGAGCAUUUCUAACGCUAUAAUUUGGUGCUUCGAAUCAGUGCUUGGAACUACAGAACGCAUGCCGCAAACACGUGAAUACGUGUUAAGUGUCUAACAACGGGAUAGAAGAUGUUAAAAAACAAAUAUUUCCGAAAAUAAUAGACUCAUAUUAUUCCACAAAAUUAAGUUAAGAAUUUAAAUAUUAAGAGGAAGAAAUUAUUUUAGGACGAAUAAAUAAUUUUUUGACGAUAAUUCCUUGUUAUUGUAUUUCGAUAAUAAUUUGUAUUUCAAUAAAAAUUCGUUCGGAAAGAAAAAGCUUUAGAAAAAAAAAAAAAAAGAAAAAGAAAAAAAAUAAUUUAGCUAUUUCGUAAAAUAAUAUAAGUCUGUAGAUUCAAAAAAUUCAGUUUCUUUUAUGUGUUCAACAAAACUACAAUUUUAGAAAAUAAAAUUUGAAGCGAGAAAAAUAUUUCAUAAAACGAGAACAUUUAACAGUACUACAGGAUCAUGUAGAACGUUAUAUAUAUUUUUUUUUUUUCCACUUCCUCUACUCGUUCAACUUCGUUGAACUAUAUUUAAACGAACAACAUAUCAUAUACAAUGGUAUAUUUAAACACAACGGAGGAAAACGAGCACCAUCCAAAAACAUCAAAGAAGGGUCAGGCAAUAUGGACAAUUAACAGAAUAGGGAAUAAUGACCUUCGUCAUAUCCUUCGAAUUCUAUUGCAAAAAUGAAGAAUUAUAUUAUUCGAUGUUUCAAUAUUUUAGUUAUACACAGCACAUGGAAGAAAGCAAUUUGUCGGAAUAUUUUUAUUACUGAACGAUUACUACUGAAGACUUCAAAAUAUGAUUGCAAUUAUGAAAAAAAUAAAUAAGAAUCGAUAUUAUAUUCAGAAUACAAAUAUAUCAUAUACAUUCAAUGAUUAAUUAAUUUAUUCCUCGUAAAUUUAAAAAAAUCGUUUCAUAAAAAUUCUAUUUAAGAAAAUAUAUAAUCGAAUUUUCCUUGUCCAUCAUUGCAUUUGAAAAAAGAAUUUUACAAAAAUAGAUAUUAUGAAAUCAAUCGCUUACCAAUCUAUUUUGUAAUGUUGCUAACAAUAUAAAAGAUAUAAUUCAUGCCAACUGCGCAUAGUAAGUAAUAAAAUAAUAGCUACAAUACUUUGUAUAGCGACAUGAUAUUAAAAAUUAAUCGUCCUCUUGAGAAUAUAAUUGAAGCCUUCAGUUUAACUUAUCAUAAUUUUAUCAAAGUUUUGAAUUUCAUCUUAAGCAGAUUUAUACUUAUAUCCAUACAUUAUUCGAAGAUAUCGCAAUAAGGAUCUUUACCUGGUGGCUUCAGAGGUACGAUGUGAGACAUAGCAGAUGGCAUCCGUGACAAAUCCGUCGGUUCAAGGCUAUGGCUACGUGUGCGUUCAAGAUUGCUAGGAAGAUCGUUAAUCCGUAAACUAAGCUGCCUUUUGAACGGUGAUGCUUGGUUCAAUUGAGUGAAACCCCGGAAGGAACCUUGUCUUUCGAGCAUCGAUGGGGUGGCGUGUGGUCUCUCUAUCGCAAAAGGAUUGUAGACUUGCUUUAUAGGUGGUACAUCUGUGAAAAAAAAAAUUUUGUUGUAUAGAAGAAAUAUAUUUUUAUAACACGUCUAAAAAAUUUUUUUCUUUAGUUAUUUAUUAUUAGUUAUUAUUAUUUAUUAUAGUUAUUUUAACUUUCAAUACAAUUUUCAAAUGACAUUGAAUUUUUUCUAUAAUAAGAUUUUUAUAAAAAUAAAAUCAUAGAAAAGCAAAAGAUUAAAAA